UUUUUUUUUUUUUUUUUGUAUUUUUAGUGGAGACGGGAUUUCACCUGUUAGCCAGGAUGGUCUCGAUCUUCUGACCUCGUGAUCCGCCUGCCUCGGCCUCCCAAAGUGCUGGGAUUACAGGCUUGAGCCACCACGCUCGGCCCCCAACUUCUAUCUUCUAAGUUUGCCUUCAGAAAGAGUGGCCCACAGGAGCCAAGAAGGAACUGCUUCCCAAGCAACUAUGGAGUAGUGGAUCUGUGUGGCACAAAGGAUGGCCUGUGGCAGCUAUGGAAGUGCACUGCUUGGAUGUCACUUUAAGAGAGGGCCUGUUAUAAGGAGUGCAGUUAGUCAACAGCAUCCAGGUAGAAUGUCUUCAGGUUCCAAGGCAGCAUUUGAGGUGAGACCAUGCUAGUUCCAGGCAGCUCCCUAUCAGAGGCUUAGUACAGCAGAGUACUAGGAUCAUUUUUGCUCAGUGUGGGGCUUCUCUAUGGGCCAUCUUUGCAUCAGAGCUCCCCGUUGGGCUGGCCAUGACUUUUUGAAAGCUGCACCGCUGUCUGAGACUCUUCCUUCCAAUCCUUCCUUCUCCCUCUCUUUCCACUUGUGUUAGACCUGCCCUGUGGUCUGAAGGUUCUUCCUGCCUCUUUCUGUGUCAUCCCCCCUUUAUCUUCUGUGAUAAUUUUUUUUUGCACUUCUAACUCCAUCUUGACUUCCUGGAGGACCUGAACUGAUGCAUUUGAUUUGGUUUUAGAGAUAGCACCUCCUUAUCCUCCCUCCUGGGGAGGGUAGGAGAAAAGCCAAAGCACUCUUUGCUCCUACAAAUUUCGUUUAAAAAUAACCUCUGACAUGUUUAAUCUCUUCAGUAGCCUUGAUGGGAUGGUGUUUGCUGAAUGGGCUUUGCCAUCAUUUAAUAAAUUCAGGGAGUUUGUUGAAGGAAUUUGAGGGCUGAUCAAAGAAAAAGAUAUGACCACAAGGGACAGUAACACAACAAGCUUUAUUGGGUGGCACUGGGACAGGGUUGCAUAAGAGGGAAAGUCCUCACAGCACAGGACUAUCCAGAGGUUUAUGGAUGGGCUAAGAGGCCACCACCUGGAAGGGAAGGAAGGCAUAGGGACUCACAGGGCAGAGAAGGAACAAAGAGGGAGCUUAUGUGUCUGGGUGAGGUCAGUCAGUACCACGUUGGAGAGUCUCUGCAUAUGCAAAGCAGGCAGGCUUUAAAUGGCUAAAAAGCUGCUUAUUUGGGAUGUUUUAAAAAUAAUCAGGCUGGGUGUGGUGGCUCAUGCCUGUAAUCCCAGCAUUCUGGGAGGCUGAGGCAUGCGGAUUGCCUGAGCUUGGGAGUUUGAGACCACCCCGGGCAACAUGGUGAAACCCCAUCUCUACUAAAAUACAAAAAAUUAGCUGGUCACGGUGGUGUGUGCCUGUAAUCCCAGCUACUUGGGAGACUGAGGCAGUAGAAUCGCUUGAGCCCAGGAGGUGGAGGUUGAAGUGAGCCAAGACCGUGCCACUGCACUCCAGCUUGGGCAACAUAGUGAGACUUCGUCUCAAAUAAUAAUCAUAAUAAUCAGACGUGUAAAAAUAUGAGUUGGGCACCAGUGAGCUUUUCAGGUAACAGGUCUCAGUCUACAGUGAAGAAAUAAACAACAUAGGGGCCAAUACACAGAGGCCAUCUUUAGUUCAUUUAUAUAACAAACAAUGUGUGAUGUUUCCAUUGAGAAUGUAGAUCGUACAGGGACUUAGCACCUCCUGUCCUCAGAUUUGGGCUAAAGUUCUGUGAAAAUAGGCCACAUUUCAUUUACCAUCCUGUUAUACAUGCAAUACCCAGCAACUAUGCCCUGCUGUGUCUUGUGGCAGAUGCUAGGGACACAAUGGUCUAGGGUUCCUGCUGUCGCAGAGCUUCGAAGUGCUGAAAGAAUUGCACAAAUGCAUAUGUGAUCACUGGGUUAAGUGCUAAGGAAGGCAAGCAGUACAAGAGUGCUAUAAGAAUGUGUUAAAGAGUGACCUCAGAAGAGGGUGCGGGUGCCAGAGGAAGCAUCCUUGAUGAAGGGACAUGAAUGCUGGGACAUGGAGGAUAAGUAGGAUUUAGCCAAGCAAAGAGUAGAGGUAGGGGUGGAACCAUGCUCAGGCAACAGAGACAGAAUAUGCAGUGGGCCUUGAAGCUUCCUCUACCUAAGCUACCUACUCCCAGUCAGUCACACCCUAGGCUUUGUCAUCUCCUAAAAUUGUCCCAUCUUGAGAAUCAGUGACUCAAGUAUGCUACUUUCUGACCACAGACUCCCUACUGUGAUCCUUUUUCAACCUCUUUGGGGCCUUCAGAUGUUGACUCCUCUGUUUCUUCCAACCUAUCAGCCCUCUUCUUUCCCUCCUAGUUUCUUUUUGUUUAAAGAGCUUUACUCAGACAUAAUUCACACACAUGUAUUUAAAGUGUAAAAUCUGAUCAAUGUUGGUAUAAGCAUACACCUGUGAACUCAUCACCACAGUCAAGAUUAGUGAGUGUAUUCAUCACUCCCAGAAAGUUCCUCAUUCCCCUCUGUAAUCUCUCCUUCCCUGUAUCCUAAAACGUUGCUAAAUUCUAAACUCCCUUACUAGUUCUAAUAGAUCUUUUGGGUAGAUUCUAUCAGAUUUCCCACACAGAAAAUGUUACCUGCAAACAAAGACAGUUGUACUUCUUCCUUUAUGAUAUGAAUACUUUUAUUUAUUUUGCUUGCCCUAUUUUCAAAAGGCUUUCUUCUUGGCUCCAUAGCUUCUUACUACAUACAACUUCAUAAUUCAAUAUUGGUCUUGCGUGGCAAGCCAGCAGUGUGACAGACACAGUCUUCCAUCUCUCACUUCUCAUUGGAAUCUCAGCUCCUUAGGUCACCAAGUUUGUCUCUCCAGCCCUGUGAGACUGUGGAAAUCUCUACUGGGUGUUUGACCCCCAGCUGUGGCCAUCUAAGUAAAGCCUCAAUUCUCAGCCUCCUUCCCUGCACCUGGAAGUGUCUGCAGCACCACCUCAUCCUUUCAUGGUUCUCUUCUUUCCUGCAUGUUGGCCCCUCAAUAUUCAUUUUAAUAGGUCUCCAGUGCCUUUAAACUGAUCCUUUUGUCAUGUUUCAUCGGACUUUUCUUCUUGUUCUCUAUAGGAGCAUUUGUCUGCCAAAAGCUACUCUUUUAUACCCAUAAGCAGAAGUCAAAUCAAUAAAAUUGUUACUCCUUAAAUGUUCUCAAACAUUUCUACUUCUCUUUAUCUCUUCCACCACCAUCCUAGUCCAAAUCACUCCUCUGUGUUAGUGCAACGACCUCCUUCAUUGCUCUCCUUUCAUCCACUCUUGCCUCCCACCUAGGCAUUCCCCAUAUAGCAGUCAGAAUUCUUUUUUAAAAAACAGGUAAGAUUAUAUCACUUCCCUGCUCAAAACCCUUAAAUUGUUUUCGAUAGUUUUCUUAGCAUAAAAUGAAAAAUAAACAUUAUUAACAACAAUAAAUGGUACUUGCUGAACUGUGGUUAUGCUCAAUGUGCAUCAGUAAUGCAAAUGGCCUUUCCUGUGACUCCUCUCGUUAAUACAGAGAAAUAAGCAGACAUUCAUCAAGUUCAACUUAAUUGGUCAAGGACACAGAUAGGGGCAGUAAAGGCAGAAUUUCGAGCCAGGACUCUUCAGCUCAAGAGCAUGUCUUUGAAGCAGAGUCCUGAAUGGAAAAAUGACUCCUUUUCUAUGUUCUCAUCUUGGUAUCAGUUAGGGCUGUCCAGAGAAACAGAAUCAAUAGGAGAGAUAGAUGUAUCUCCUGUUGAGGCAGAGAGAGACAGAGAGAGAGAGAGAGAGAGAGAGAUUAAGGAACUGGCUCACAUGAUUGUGAGUUGGGGGCUGGCAAGUCUGAAAUCUGUAGGGUAGGGCAGCAGGCUUGAGACCCAGGGAAGAGUUAAUGUUGCAGCUUGAGUCCAAAGGCUGUCUGAACACAGAAUUCCUUUCUCUUCAAGGGACCUCGGUCUUUUCUCUUAAGGCCUCCAACUGACCAGAUGAGACCCAUCCACAUUGUGGAAGAGGACAAUCUGCUUUACUCAAAGUCUGUUGAUUUAAAUGUUAAUAAUAUCUUAAAAAAUAGCAUCACAGCCACAUCUAGAUACUUUGACCAAGCAACUGGGAACUGUAGCCUAGCCAAGUUGACACAAAACCAGCCAUUAUACUUCCUGACUAUAUUUUCAUGGUAAAGAAUUCAAACAACAGGGAGAUAUAUAGAAGAAAUACUGAAAGUCACAUUUCCACCCCAUCCCUUUCGUUCCCCAGAGGUGAACACUGUGAAUUCCUCAGUCAGCAUCCUUCCAGAACUCUGCCUAUUCCUUUAACACUCAUACAUGUAAAUAUAUUCAUAUAAUUUGGUUUUAUUUUACUUAAAUGAGAUUGUCCUGUAAGUGCUGUCUAGUGUCUUGUUUUUUUGUCUCAAAUGGUAACUCAUGGAAAUCAUUCUGUGUUAGUUCAUCCAUAUUUAUCUUGUUUUUUCAGUUGGACAAACAAAACAUUCAUUCAAUGUUUACAAAAUUAAAUCAAGUAAAAAUAAAAAAUUCUCUUUGAUCACUUCCUAAACCUCACUGUCCUUCUCAGCAGUAAGUGGUUUAAAAAAAUAUAUUACUUUUUCGAGACAGGGUCUCACUCUGUUGCCCAGGCUGGAGUGCAGUGAUGUGGUCACAGCUUACUGCAGCCUCAAACUCCCAGGCGCAAGUGAUCCUCCCACUUCAAUUUCCCAAGUAACUGGGGGCACAGGCACAUGCCACCACAUCCAGCUAAUUUUUCAUUUCUUGUAGAGAUGGGAUCUUUCCAUUUUGCCCAGGCUGGUCUUGAACUCCUGGGCUCAAGCCAUCCUCCUAUCUAAGGCUCCCAAAUUGCUGAGAUUACCAGCAUGAGCCACCACACCUGGCCAGUGAGUACUUUGAUAAGUUUGGUGUCAGUCUAUCUAAUUAGACACAAUAUUACACAAAGAGGUGAAGAUGGCAGGGUGGUCUCUGUAUUUCCUUCAUGUUCUCUUUUCCUCUCUGUUCUCACCCCUGUAUAACUUGUAUCAAGAAUGUCAUGCUAUAACAGUGAACUUAUGUGAUAUGAUCUGUAUUAAUAAGAGAGAAGCUUGUUUGUCUUUCAAGUGUGCCACUAUGAGGCAUUUGAAAAAUCUGAGCCUAUUCCUAUAGAGGGCUGUUAGCAACAGACAGCUGUAAAAUUCAACCUUUUCAUCCAGGCUGGAGCCAGGAACUAUCAGUUCUUAGGUUGGGGAGACAUAUAAGGGUCAAAAAGAAUUUUUCAACCAGAAAGCCAAGACUGACUGUGUUUUAUUGUGAAAGUUUCUUAGAUAAGUAUCUGCAGGAACUUUCCAAAGGAAGCGAUCAGGGGAAGGGAGGCUGUGGAGAGGACUCUGUAAACUGGUAGGAUCCACUGCUACCCUAGGGGUGGGGGUGGGCAUCAUGGGUUGGACCAGAGCCAGGGCACAAAUUGGGACCUGUGGUAGGUUGAAUAAUGGCCCCCCAAGGAUAGCAGGUCCAAAUUCCUGGAAUCUGUAUGUAUUACCUUAUUUGGGAAAAGGGUCUUUACAAUGUGAUUAAGCUAAAGAUCUUGAGAUGGGGAGAUUAUCCUGGAUUAUCUCGGUGGGCUCUAAAUCCAAUCACACUUGUCCUUAUAAGGAGGUAAAGGCAGAUUGUCUGCACACACACCCACAUACAGGAGGAGGUGAUAUGAGGAGGGAAGACAGACAGGUUUGAAAAUGCUGGCCUUAAGACCAAGGAAUACAGGCAGUCACUAGAUAUUGAAAGAGCUAGGAAUGGAUCCUCCCCUGGAGCCUCCAGAGAAAGUGGGGCCCUGAUGACAUCUUGUUUCAGCCCAGUGAUACUGAUUUUAGACUUCCAACCUCCAGAACUGUGAGAGAAUAAAAUUCUGUUGUUUUAAGCCA
ensembl:lncRNA